CCCGGCCGGCCGGCCCACGGGCGGGAGGACGGGCCUCCGCUCGGGCGGAGGCGGCGCGGUGGCUGAUCAGAGAGCGGAGGGCCUCGCCGGGGCCGGGAGCUGGGCGCGGUCCUGCUCAGCCCAGCUCGCCGCGCGCCGGCCCUCGGCGCCCUGGUUCUGCGGAUCAGGAGUUGAAACCAGCACCUUCCCUUUCUCUGAGUCCUGCCUCCUUCUGCAGAAGGGAGCUCAAAAGAACUUUGUUGUUUUGCCUUUUACUCUGGGGUGAAAGCGGCAGACGAUGAGGUACGUGAGAUGGUGAAAUGAUUUGCUUCUGCCAUGCUAGGGUCACGGGUGGAUCCCCCUAAACUCUCGGUGGCCCCCUCAGUAGUUUUGGAAGAGGACCAAGUCCUUGUCUGUCCAGCAGUGGAUCUGGAAGCAGGAUGCCGGCUCAGGGACUUCACUGAGAAAAUAAUGAAUGUCAAAGGAAAAGUAAUUCUGUCAAUGCUGGUUGUCUCAACUGUGAUCAUUGUGUUUUGGGAAUUUAUCAACAGCACAGAAGGCUCUUUCUUGUGGAUAUAUCACUCAAAAAACCCAGAAGUUGAUGACAGCAGUGCUCAGAAGGGCUGGUGGUUUCUGAGCUGGUUUAACAAUGGGAUCCACAAUUAUCAACAAGGGGAAGAAGACAUAGACAAAGAAAAAGGAAGAGAGGAGACCAAAGGAAGGAAAAUGACACAACAGAGCUUCGGCUAUGGGACUGGUUUAAUCCAAACUUGAAGGAAUCCAAAUAACUAAACUGGACUCUGGUUUUCUGACUCAGUCCUUCUAGAAGACCUGGACUGAGAGAUCAUGCAGUUAAGGAGUGUGUAACAGGCGGACCACCUGUUGGGACUGCGAGAUUCUCAAGGGGAAGGACUGGGUCUCAUUUCUCCCAUCUCAGCGCUUAGCAGGAUGACCUGGUAUAGAGCAGGGAACUGGGAAAUGUGGGUCAGGGGAUCAGACACCCCAGUUGGGUCUUUUAUAUAAAUUAAAUGGCAAAAGGCUCCAUACCCUUCUCCUUCUUUCCUACCCUCCACUUUAUCUGCAAAAUGGGAAUGAUGAUAACACCCACUUCAUAGAAUGGUCAUGAAGAUCAAAUGAGAGAAUAAAAGUCAAGCACUUAGCCUCUGGUGCACAAUAAGUAUUAAAUAAGUUAUACCUAUUCCUCCUUUUCCUUUUUUAAAAAUAAUAUUACCAAAUGUCCAGCUUAUACACAGUUACAAGACUUAGCUAGUGGGCUAUGUUAGAGCUACUAAAAGAUCUUUGACAAGCUAAAACUAAGAUGCAAUGAAUGAGGUGUAACGAACAAGAGAGUUUUAAGUUCAGAAAUGGUUACAGAAGUAUAAGACAGCUGUGUGGGUGUUUUUUGGUUUUUGGUUUCUGGUUUACAAUCUCGUCAUUCAACAAAGAUGGGAGUUUUAUAGAACUAAAAGCACCAUGUAAGCUACUAAAAACAACAACAAAAAAGGCUCAUCAUUUCUCAGUCUGAAUUGACAAAAAUGCCAAUGCUAAUAAAAAUGAUUACUUUUUAUUUU
rnacentral:sRNA from 1 species